AAUCAAUAAUUUAUAUUUAUACCUAUUAUAAAACCAGUUGCGUUGUUUUUGCGAUAUUUCAAUAACACGUUGUAUACUUACGCAUAUUGUUCCUGAUUUACUCUUCUAAGGCGGCUAUUUUUACAUUAUUUUAAGGUAAGGCAGUUAUUUUGUCUAUUUCUUAAGUUUGCCGUACAUUUGUUAUAAUAUUCUAAGUGCUUUGUUUUAGUCGAGAUCUCAAAUAGGUACGUCGUACUCUAACGAUCAGUGGUAGGUAGAAUUAUUUUUGGUACUUUUAUGGUUUUAAAAUAUAUGGCCACACUCACUAAAUGGACCGACGAUCUGGUGAAGGUCGCGGGAAGCACCCGGAUGCGGGUAGCGCAGGGCCGGUUGUUGUCGAAAUCCUUGAGGGAGGCCUUUGUCCAGCAGUGGACGUCAUUUGGCUGAAACUAACGAAUGAAAAAAUAGCCCAAUAAAUUCCAAUUUAUUUAGAAAAAACUGUAAUAAGAACCAAAAUAUCUCUACCUACCCUGAUCUCUAUUACACAUAGUUCCCACUUUAUCUAUAGCAUUGUGACAGUAUUAU